rnacentral:rRNA from 1 species
UUUUUAUGAGAGUUUGAUCCUGGCUCAGGACGAACGCUGGCGGCGUGCCUAAUACAUGCAAGUCGUACGCUUCUUUUUCC